rnacentral:rRNA from 1 species
UACGUAUGGAGCAAGCGUUAUCCGGAUUUACUGGGUGUAAAGGGAGUGCAGGUGGCCAGGCAAGUCAGAAGUGAAAGCCCGGGGCUCAACCCCGGGACUGCUUUUGAAACUGCAGGGCUAGAGUGCAGGAGGGGCAAGUGGAAUUCCUAGUGUAGCGGUGAAAUGCGUAGAUAUUAGGAGGAACACCAGUGGCGAAGGCGGCUUGCUGGACUGUAACUGACACUGAGGCUCGAAAGCGUGGGGAGCAAACAGG